GACGAACGCUGGCGGCGUGCUUAACACAUGCAAGUCGAACGGAAAGGCCCUGCUUUUGUUGGGUGCUCGAUUGGCGAACGGGUGAGUAACACGUGAGUAACCUGCCCUUGACUUUGGGAUAACUUCAGGAAACUGGGGCUAAUACCGGAUAGGAGCUCCUGCUGCAUGGUGUGGGUUGGAAAGUUUCGGCGGUUGGGGAUGGACUCGCGGCUUAUCAGCUUGUUGGUGGGGUAGUGGCUUACCAAGGCUUUGACGGGUAGCCUGCCUGAGAGGGUGACCGGCCUCAUUGGGACUGAGAUACGGCCCAGACUCCUACGGGAGGCAGCAGUGGGGAAUAUUGCACAAUGGGCGGAAGCCUGAUGCAGCAACGCCGCGUGCGGGAUGACGGCCUUCGGGUUGUAAACCGCUUUCGCCUGUGACGAAGCGUGAGUGACGGUAAUGGGUAAAGAAGCACCGGCUAACUACGUG
rnacentral:rRNA from 1 species